AUUGAACGCUGGCGGCAGGCCUAACACAUGCAAGUCGAAUGGUAACAGGAAACAGCUUGCUGUUUCGCUGACGAGUGGCGGACGGGUGAGUAAUGUCUGGGAAACUGCUUGAUGGAGGGGGAUAACUACUGGAAACGGUAGCUAAUACCGCAUAACGUCGCAAGACCAAAGGGGGGGACCUUCGGGCCUCUUGCCAUCAGAUGUGCCCAGAUGGGAUUAGCUAGUAGGUGGGGUAACGGCUCACCUAGGCGACGAUCCCUAGCUGGUCUGAGAGGAUGACCAGCCACACUGGAACUGAGACACGGUCCAGACUCCUACGGGAGGCAGCAGUGGGGAAUAUUGCACAAUGGGCGCAAGCCUGAUGCAGCCAUGCCGCGUGUAUGAAGAAGGCCUUCGGGUUGUAAAGUACUUUCAGCGGGGAGGAAGGGAGUAAAGUUAAUACCUUUGCUCAUUGACGUUACCCGCAGAAGAAGCACCGGCUAACUCCGU
rnacentral:rRNA from 1 species